rnacentral:lncRNA from 1 species
GGAUGAGUCUGUUAAGGAUAUUCCUGUAAGGAAGAUGUGUAAUGUUUAUGACAGGAGGAAAAGGCUGUAAGUUUUUUUCUGAGACUCUCUGGAAGAAGUAGAAAAUACCUGGAUAUGUACAUCUGUGUUGGCUUCUCAAAUCACUGUUCAGCUCCUUCCCAAAUGAGCUCUGAAGAUGGAAAUCUAAACUCCUAAUGAAGCAGGCCAGCAGGUUGGAAGAAAGAUCAAAAAGCAUGUCUGGCAAUGUGACCGAUGGGCAGUACACUGGAGAUGAAAGACUCUGCAACUCCAGCCUCUUGGGAAGAGUCACUGAAAAGAAAGCAGAAGAUGGAUGGCCUGCGGAGGAGAGCUCCAGCAAAGCUAAUGAUGACCCUUGAGGACUGUGUGUGGAUAACAGAUGAUGCAGGAUUCCCUCCCGUAAGCAAGUGCA